UACGGGGGGGGCAAGCGUUGUUCGGAAUUACUGGGCGUAAAGCGCGCGUAGGCGGCCCUUCAAGUCGGGCGUGAAAGCUCCGGGCUUAACCCGGAAAUUGCGUUCGAUACUGUCGGGCUAGAGUGUGGAAGGGGCUACCGGAAUUCCGUGUGUAGCGGUGAAAUGCGCAGAUAUCAGGAGGAACACCGAUGGCGAAGGCAGGUCUCUGGGCAUUAACUGACGCUGAGGAGCGAAAGCAUGGGGAGCGAACAGG
rnacentral:rRNA from 1 species